UUUACUGUGUAGCAGGCAGUAUCGUAGCCAAUGAGGUUUAUCCGAGGCGCGAUUAUUGCUAAUUGAAAAGUAGACGCUUAUUACCAUUUACUGUAUCUUGCAAUUCUGUGUGAGAUUGGCUGCUUGGUUUUUCAG